rnacentral:rRNA from 1 species
AGUGAACGCUGGCGGUAGGCCUAACACAUGCAAGUCGAACGGCAGCACAGUAAGAGCUUGCUCUUACGGGUGGCGAGUGGCGGACGGGUGAGGAAUACAUCGGAAUCUACUUUUUCGUGGGGGAUAACGUAGGGAAACUUACGCUAAUACCGCAUACGACCUACGGGUGAAAGCAGGGGAUCUUCGGACCUUGCGCGAUUGAAUGAGCCGAUGUCGGAUUAGCUAGUUGGCGGGGUAAAGGCCCACCAAGGCGACGAUCCGUAGCUGGUCUGAGAGGAUGAUCAGCCACACUGGAACUGAGACACGGUCCAGACUCCUACGGGAGGCAGCAGUGGGGAAUAUUGGAAAAUGGGCGCAAGCCUGAACCAGCCAGACCGCGUGGGUGAAGAAGGCCUGCGGGUUGUAAAGCCCUUUUGUUGGGAAAGAAAAGCAGCAGGUUAAGACCCCGCUGUUCGGACGGUACCCAAAGAAGAAGCACCGGCGAACUGCGU